AUUACUCGAUCUAUUUCGUACACAAGAUACAGUAGAGGGAAGCUACGGUAGAUAGCGUUUUGCUUUUAUAUGGGCGGACAAAUUUUUCAACGGCUUUUUCAUCGACGUACCUCGCCGCCGAUACGGUCCCAUCAUCCGUGCGCGAUCCGUGAUCGAGAUCGACCAGUGGCAGCGCAGCGCCUGGGAACAUCUGAACAUAAAAGCCUGAAAUUCGAAAGCUGUAACUUAAGUUGAAUCGGACAUUGUUCCGUGCUGAAGUCUGUGAAUCUUCGACAGUUUCAAGAUCAGAUCAUCGAUCAGAGUUUCCGUUCAUCUCCGACUCCGAGAGACCAUCCUCGACUGAAUCGCAAGUCUUCUCAUUUCCAAAAAAAGGCCAGGCACUGCACAACACAGUCACACAAGGAUUAGGGGCCGGCAAUCAAUCACUGUCACUGUGUCAGUCAGAAUGGAUAUCUUCAGUCUACACCUUUAACACAUCCAUCUUCUGCUACCCCUAGGGAGUGAAAGGGAAAAAAGAAAGGGAAACCACUUUCUUGAGAAGUCCCCUGGAGGAUCCCACCAGGAGCAGGGAUUCAAGAUGCAAAGUGAGGCCUCCUGCAUGGAGCUGGCCCUGGAAGGUGAGAGGUUAUGCAAGGCGGGGAACUGCCGAGAAGGAGUCCGCUACCUGGAGGCUGCCGUGGAGGUCGGAACCGAUGACCUUAAGACGCUAAGUGCCAUCUACAGCCAGCUAGGCAACGCCUACUUCUUCCUUGAAGACUAUGGCAAGGCCCUGACCUAUCACAAGCAUGACCUGACCCUAGCGACCUCUAUUGGGGACAGACUUGGAGAAGCCAAAGCCAGUGGUAACAUUGGCAAUACACUGAAAGUCCUUGGAAAGUUUGAUGAAGCCAUCUGCUGUUGUCAAAGACAUUUAGAUAUAUCGAGAGAACUCUCGGAAAAGGUAGGAGAAGGCAGGGCGCUGUACAACCUCGGCAAUGUGUACCAUGCUAAAGGAAAGCAUGCUGGGCGGAGCGGGCAUCAAGACCCGGGAGACUUCCCUCAAGAAGUUACAGACUGUCUCAAGCAGGCUAUACAGUUUUAUGAAGCCAACCUAGCAAUAGUCAGGGAGCUCGGAGACAGGGCGGCGCAAGGAAGAGCCUGUGGUAACCUUGGCAACACGCAUUAUCUUCUUGGCAACUUCGAGACGGCCAUACAAUUCCACACAGAGCGGCUUGCUAUAGCAAAAGAAUUUGGAGACAAGGCAGCAGAGAGACGGGCUUAUAGUAACCUAGGAAACGCAUGUGUCUUUAUGGUGCAGUUUGAAGUGGCUGCAAAAUAUUACAAGAAAGCUUUGCAUAUUGCAAGGCAGCUCGGCGAAUUGGCGAUGGAGGCCCAGGCGUGCUACAGUCUAGGGAACACUUACACUUUAUUACGGGAGUAUGAGAAGGCUGUGGAAUACCAUGGUCGGCAUAUGGAGAUAGCUCAAGAACUCAAUGACAGAGUUGGAGAAGGCCGGGCAUGCUGGAGUCUAGGGAAUGCUCAUACGUCUUUAGGAAACCAUGAAAAAGCCCUUCACUAUGCAACUCUACAUCUUCAAAUAUCAAGAGAGGUUGGAGAUAGAACAGGAGAAGUCACAGCCAAGAUGAACUUACAAGAUUUACAAAGUCUCUUUGGUUUAAGUACAAGUGAUAUUAGUGAUGUCAGUACAACUGUUCAAACCCCAUUACAAGAAACUAAAGGUGCUAGACCCCGAAGAAGGAGAAGUAUGGAGAAUUUAGAACUUGUUGCUAUGACGCCUGAAAAGAAAGCAGAAAUCAACCAAGUCCCCAAAAGGAAAAUUAGGCCGGGGAGUAAGAUCAAAUUAAAGAAUGGCGGAGAAUCCAAAGAUAAGCAGAGCCUUAAGCAUUCCAAGGAGCCAGUUAGCAGUGCCAAGAAUAGUGCGCCCGCCCCGUCCAAAGCUAAAACACAGACCUCAGCACGGAAGGGAGGUGAACCCACACAGAUGCUAGAUGAUGCCGAUAACUUCUUUGAGGCCCUCAGUCGUUUCCAGAGCAAUAGAAUGGAUGAGCAAAGAUGCUCGUUUGGCAGACUACAGAAGAAGCUAGCAGACGAGGAGGGAAAUGGAUUACCCGAAAAGGAAGAACUCUUAGACGAGAUCGCCAAACUCCAGGGUAGCCGUCUCAACGAGCAGAGGGCAUUCUCCGCCCAACGGUUACCAGGGCUACCGGGUCUGAGGGCCAAUGAAGACGUUGUAGGGAAGCUAUUAGCCAAAGGAGAUCGAGCUGAACCAGAUGAUGAUUUCUUUGAGAUGAUCAUCAGAUGUCAGGGGGCCAGGAUAGAGGACCAACGCAGCACGUUACCCAUACAGGUCCCCGCCCCCACCGUCCCAGACGAGGACUUCUUCAGCCUGAUCCAGCGCAUCCAGUCCAAGCGCAUCGAAGAGCAGCGAACCAUACCACCGUGGGAAAAGGGUGCAGAAGAUGAUAAAUGAACACCUUGUCUAGCACGUCCAUCAUUUAUACUAGCCCCAUUCACACUGCAUGGAUAAACCACCUCAAACUGUUAAAAUGAUUAUGGGUUAAAUUGUGAGUGGGAAUAGACCACAAGGCGUUUCAUGGUAUGAAAAUGGCCAUAAAGACCUCGAUGCCCAUGCCAUUUUGUCUUGCAUAGGGGGAAGGGGAUUAGCCCAUUAUAAACCCUUCCAUCAAGAGGAUUAACACUGAAUGGAUAUAUUGGUUCUUCAUGCACUUGCAGCUCCUCCUCAACAUAGGAUGGUUGAUAUCAUGAAUGAAUAUUGAUAUUAAUUGAGGUGAUUUAUUCAUCGAGUGUGAAUGGGGCCUAAUUCAUACUUUCAAUGUCUCAGUGAUGGUAUAGGGAAUCGUGUUUGUCAGGUUCUGUGAUUAAUAGUCCAUUCGUGUGUGUGUGAGUGUGUGUGUACAUGUGUGUGUCCCAGUGAUUGGAGCUGUUUAUGGAACCCACCAGUGUUUGUCUAAGACUAAAUGGAAAUGCUCUAGCCCUUAUUCUGAUUAUUCUGAGGUUCGAUUUAAAUUCUGGUAUUUAACUUUUGAUGGCCAAUUGUGGAUCAAAUCUCUAACUCUAGUAAUACAUGCUCAAUUUAGCGGCUAUCAAAUCGUUUGUUCCUGUCAAGGAAGAAUAGUUCCUUCAACAUUCAAGCAUGCAGAACAAGUGCACUGAAAUUAAAAAAUGCAAUGUUUACAAAAUUUGGACUCUUUUAGCUUCUCAUAAUUUUACCUCAGAGUUAAGACAAUAUAGCUUUUUAAAGUUAAACGGGACUUCAGAAUACGGGCAUGUGUGUUCAUCUCUCACAAACUGAUAGUAUUUGUUCGUCUUUGAAAUCUAAUGUUUUCAUCUCACUAAUUAUCUCUCGAUGUAUUGAUGUGUAUAAAUGAAUUCCUUGAUGAUGACUUAUGUAAUGUUUAUUUUUGUUUAAAUUAAGCAAUUUCAAUUUAAACAGCCCCCUUGCCAUAUGAUUAAUUACGGUUUGACUGUAGUGGUCUCUUAUUUGAUAUCCAUGAAUUUAUGUUGGAAUUGAAAAGGUUGAAAGAAUCAAAAUUAAUAAAUGAAUUGGACAUGCUCACGCAUUAGUUAGGCGCUUAGAUUAAAAAAUAUUGAAUGAUUUUAUACUGUCACAUUUUAAAUGAACCAUUGAUCAUGUUUAAUCUGUACAUCACCUUUCAUUGUACAUUGGGUUUGUGCCUGUGCAUAUUAGCAGCAUUUAAUAUCGUUUUGUUUCUUUGAGAAUUUAACCUACUCUGAGUCUACAUAGUUUUGACUGCAGUGAUGAGUAUGUAGUCCCACAUAUUCAGAAAAGUGUGUGCAGUUAUUGCUUAAGUCAUAUUACGUGUAUAUCAUAUGAAUUGCUGAUACUUGGACAUUCAGUGUGUAGGAACGAGCAAAGACACAGAGGCUGUUCUUGUAUCCGUCCAGUAUUGCUCACCAAAUAUGUACCCAACUUUGGCAUUAUUCAUUGGUCAUAAUUCUACUUUUGUGGGGAUACAUGUAUAUGGCAGACAAUGAAAGGCCCUAUCUGUUGAAUGUCAAAAAUUUUUAUCGGUGAAAAACUGAUAUAUAUACAAAUCAAAGGAAUACAAUCGUAAUUCACUGGAGGGCAAUUCCAUGGAAUAUUCAGACUUUUGGUACGUCGGAUCCUUUUUUUUUCCAUGUUUACUUUACUUCACGAAACUGCUCAAGCUCAGUGAAUAGUCGUCUGGACUUUGAACCUCAAGGACCAAGGGAGCGUUUCAUGAAAGGACUUGUCGGACGUUUUAUCUGACUGUUACCAUAGUAACGGUAACUCUCAGCCAAUCAGACACAAGGAAAGUUGUCAGAUCCUACAAAUUGUCAGACAAAAAUGUUGAUAUAAUGCUGCCCAGGCUUUUAAUCUCACCAUGGCACUUGUGAUUUUUGGCAAGGCGUUUAUCUACAUUUGCCAUUCUCCAUCCAUGUGUAGUAAAUGGAUACCCGGUCGGAAGGAAUUCCUUGAAUACUCAAACACCCGAUCAGGGUCGCCUGCUAAUUGUGGGGUAAUAGUAUGCAGUGCUUGGAAACAUUCUAAAGCGAUAAAAAAAUGUUGCAUAUUAUUAUGAUUAUUAUUAAAUAUUUUAGAACUGGAUAAAAAGAAGAUAAAUACUUGAAAUGCUGCAAUCCUCUUUUAGAAUAAUGAUUUUCAAUAUGGACUUGAUUAUUAUCCAAGAGCAUUGAAAUAGCAAUAUGAAUCCUAUUCAAAACUGAAUGGAUAGUCAGUAUAUCCCCCAAUAUUAAGAGAAUACGUGAAAUAUCGUGACUGAAAAGCAUGUUAUUAUGGAAUAGUAAAGGAAAGAUCAAACACCACCCUUUUGUCAAUGGUAGCCUACCAGAAUGAGUCAUUCCUUGACAAAUAUUUUCAUAUAGGUUUGUUUUUUAAUUUAAAUAUUUUUUAGAAAUGUAUUUGACAAAAAAUUUAAGAGGUGAAUAUAUGGUGUUGUGUGUGUACUUGCUGAUAAUUUUUUAAAUGAUUGAAUUUUAUAAACCUUUGUCCUCUUCUUAAUUUUCUAUGUGAAAUCAUUUUUAUUCAAAUAAUGAACCAAAAAUACACAAUCGCUAUUCCCUGUUGUCUUUAACAUGUAAAUUUCAGCGGAAAUAGGACCAAAAAAUAAUUGUUUCAAUCAUGUUGUACUACAUUAUUGAUAUUUAUUCAAAUUCCGAUAUUUCACACAAGAAUGAACUCCUGUUUAUUUUAUGUAAUAUCACUUUCAUGAGGCAAUCUGUUCAAUGCACUUUACGAUUUGUUUUGUAAAAUCAUGAAGUAAUGUGAGUUUUGUGUUACAGCUCAAUAUUCAACCCCAUUGAUUUUUUUAUGUGGAGACAUUUUAUAUCUUUAAAGUUCAAUUUUAGUACAUUUAGGUGGAGGAUACUGCACAAGUAUAUGCUCAAGAUUUUGCGAUUGUGUUUAUUUUGGGUAAUUUUAGGACUUUUGUUAACAGCAAAAACGUGCACUUCUCAUAGAUUCCUGAACAAAGUGAAUGAAAAGGUAACAUAAUGUGCAAAAAUGAAUUAAUGUUUUUUUAAUUUAUGCAAAAUCUUGAAUAUUAGCUUAUAAAUUAGUUCAUAAAUGUGUCAUAUUCAUCUCUUUAUCUGACAAAGUUGGAAGUAUUUCUGGGAAAUACAUGUACAUGUAGACUACAAUAGAAUUUAUGGUAUAGAAAUUUGAAUUUAAUGCAACUCUUCACUACUGAAGUUUGUAGAGUCCCAGAGUAAACAUCCCAUUUCAAAUAAGUCUGAAAAGAAUGUAAUCGUUCAGUAAAGUGUUUGUGUCUUUGAAUAAACGUAAAUUAAGCAUUAUCCCUAUUUUCAGUUAGUUUUCAUUAUAUUACACCAUUUGCCUGGCUCAAACAUUGUAAGAAGUUUAUACUGUGAUGGUAUGAUUGCAGUUCAGCGUAAUUUUGAAGACUUUAUUCUUAAAAUUAUUGCUCAUUUUAUCUACUUGAACUGACAUCAAGUAUCAAAGAUACUUCCAAUCAUAUAAUUGAUACCGCUUUUUAGAUUUGAAGAUGAAUUUCACACUCGAACUAUCCUCUACCCAAAUUACUGGAGCUGAUCAACGUAUAGUGACGUAAUAAUAUUUUUUAUUUAGCAAAUCACGGUAACCAUCUCUCAUGCUUUAUAUUCUUAAGUUUGUUUAUAAUACCAUGUAAAUUCUGUGUGUAUAUAGUGUGUGUAAAAUUUAGCUAAUUGCUGUGUAGUUUUAGAGCCAGUUGUAACUCUAUUUGUAUAUAAUAUGUGUGUGUUUGUAAUAUAAUUGUACAGUGUGGUUUAGAAAAAAAAAUGAUUGUGUAAAAUUACAUGUCUAUGACUACAUUCACGCCUAAGAUGUUAUUUUAUAUUUUAUGCACUCGAGAGUACAUGCAGGAAAUUCCAUGCUGCUUUUAUAAAGCCUUGUUUUGAAUUUUUAGGAAAGUUCUUGUGCUCUAACAGUUAAUUUAUAUGAAACAAGCCUUCAUUGUCACUGGUAGUAAAGACGUCAAACUUUGUUCGUUCUUUGUUUUCUGAAUCCAUCUCACUGCCCUAUUUUGGUUAGGAACGGCUUAUGAAAUGUUGCGUUUUUUAAACAUUCAUAUAAAAUGUGCAAUUGUUUAAAAUCAAUCUGAUCUAUGGCAAGCCAAUGAUGCCAUCUAGAAGGCAUAUACUCUGUUCCUUUGUUAAAGGACAAGUCCACCCCAACGAAAAAUUGAUUUGAAUAAAAAGAGAAAAAUCCAACAAGCAUAACACUGAAAAUUUCAUCAAAAUCGGAUGGAGAAUAAGAAAGUUAUGACAUUUUUAAGUUUCGCUUAAUUUCACAAAACAGUUAUAUUAAGCAAAUCCCAGUCAGUAUGCAAAUGAGGAAACUGAUGACAUCACUCACUAUUUCUUUUGUAUUUUAUUAUAUGAAAUAUUCUACUUUUCUCUUCAUCGUCCUGUGAAUCAAAGUUUUAUUUCUCCCUGAACAUGUGGAAUGACAAUUGAUUAACAUUUCAUGGUUCAGUCAAGUUGGUCCUUAUUGUCAAAUCUGUUUAUAUUGAAAUAUUAUAUAUCUUAAACAAGAAAAAACAAAAGAAAUAGUGAGUGAGGGACAUCAUCGACUCUCAUUUGCAUGUUAUCGAGUUGUACAUAUAACUGUUUUGUGAAAAAUAAGUGAAACUUCAAAAUGUCAUAACUUUGAUAUUUUACAUCCGAUUUUGAUGAAAUUUUCAGCAUUAUGCUUGUCUGAUUUUUCUGUAUUGAUUCAAAUCAACAUUUUUCUGAGGUGGACUUGACCUUUAAAGAAGGAUCAUGCUGAACAAUCAACUUGAUUACCCGUGGAUGAGUAUGCAUUAUUCUAGAUAAUGAAAUAUGGCUUUCCAUAGUUUACAUCAAUUUUAAUCAAUUGCACUAUAUAAUAUUUUGCCGUGGUGAUUUUAUUUUAUCAGAUUUUUGCACUUCCAUGGCUUAGAUUGUUGCCAAAUGAAGAAAAUGAAAGUUUUAGCUAUUUUAGGAUCAUGAUUCUAAAACAAUGAAAGGAUUGAUUCCAAAGAGACCACUCUGUGGUCGUCUAACACAAAUUAUACUAAACUCGAUGAACAUUUAGAUAGAAACUUCUGUGUAAUGUUGAAUAUUAGGUCAUCAUGUGUGAAAACUAUUAUGUAAUAUAUGUAAUGACAAAACAGUUGUAUAUCACCUUUUCUAUUAUCUUGAAAUAUGACAAAAUUAAACCAUAAUCAGAUGUACUUGUAAGUGUCAAAAUAUAAAAUCUGUGGUUGUGGAAGGUUCAUGUUGUUAUACUUGUUAAAUAUGAUGUUGGGAUGACUUUUUCUGAGUACGAACAAUUUUUGUCAACCACCAAAUUUGUAUACUUCACUCACCGUUAAUAUAUUUUGUAUGUGAUACAUCGGUGUAUUUGGCCUUCGCAGAGCAUUUUAUGAAUUGAAGUUAAUCUUUAGCUGUGGUAAAGAUAAAGGAAAUUUUAGGAAGUUAAGCUCAUCUUAUGUAAGAAAUAAUGGAAUGAAACUGAAAUUGUGCUGCUGGUUUUGAUUCAAAAUCUGAUAUUGCUUUAGGUACAACUUGGUUUGCAUAACGUACAUCGCAAACAUAUGCUGGAAACAUAUUUGUCUGAUCUCCUAGGGCCCGUAACACAAAGGUUAGCGAUUAAUCGUAUGCUUGAUUUUUACGAUUGAUUGUACAUUGUAGUCAAUGCAAUCAAUCGUAGAAAAAUUUUCUAUGAUCAUUGCUAAGCUUUGUGUUACGGGCCCCUGAAUUCAUUUAUCUUAUUUAAAGUUAUAUUUCAUCCACUUUGAUUCGGCGCCAAUGUUUUCUCUUUAUCACAACUAGAGAUUACCUCACUAUUUUGUGUUUUUUUAUCAUGUCAAUAUUCUUAUCAACAAUAAUUGUCUGUUUUGCAGUUUAAGAGAGUCUCUGACUCUCUUAGUACAACCAACGACACAGGCUUCCAUAUUGUGUGUAUUUUGACGAGGUAUUGGUGAUAUUUUUUGAGAAUUUUCUGAAUUUGCAAUGUUAUUUCAAGUCGUGUGAUGGUGGUGAUAUUAUGUGUGUACUGGAGGGAGCUGUUCAACUUUUAGAUUCCAAUGAAAUAUUUGAGUGAUUGUUUAGAUAUACAGUAGUGGUAACAGCUUAAAUGGAUAAAUGAAAUACAUUGUAUUUGUAUCAUGCACUAAGAAUGACUUACUGAGACCAUGUGAACUACAAAUGAAAAACCCUUAUCUGUAGUAUUGAUAUCCCACAAAAGUAUAUAGCUGUACUCUAAGCAGCUGGUGAUGUCUAAUUUUGAUGGCCAAAAGUUUUACGAAAAUUCACACUGAAGUUUGAAUUUCACUUGUUACAAGCAUCUGUCCUCUUUUUAGUAAAGCUACAUUGUAUCCAAUAUAAACAAGUGAUGUUUAUUUCAAAACACCCAUUUUAUUCAUUGAUCUUUAUAAUGUAUUUAUGGCUAGAGGUAACAUUCUGGACAGUAUCACUUUUAUUUCUUCUGUUUUUUUUUUUUUUUUUACAAAUUCACCUUCUACAUGAUCUGCAUUGUGUAAAAUAUUCUCUUUUUUUAUUAUUAUGUCAUUUUUUAUAGAUGAAUUGACCAAGAAUGUGUACAUUCCUGUAGAAAGUGAGAAUUUGGCUGUAAAAUCAAUUCAAAUUCACGUUGGAAACUUAAUUGUUUUGUGUUACCGAUUUGGGCCCAAGUUCUAGUUUGCUUCACUUGACAUGUAUCUCAUAUCAUUGAAUUUGCUUGUCUAGGCAUGAUGAGACAUUUCCAUUUUUCAUUGAAACUCUAUUUCUUUCUCUAUUCCGCUUUCGUUUCCUGUGUCCCGUGAUCUUACCCAUCUACUUAUCUCUUUAAAAUAUUUGUUUUAGUCUCUCCCGCUCUCCUCUCUCUCCUUAUCCUCUUUGUUCCAGGACAUUUGCCCUGCUCUAAAUUCCGCACACUAAUCAAAUGACCAACUUCGACCCUGGGUUUAACAGUAACACUAUACCCUCUCGUAAACCUAACCCUAAACCUAACAUGAAACCCUAUUGCAACCCUAAUCCUAUCCCUACAUCUUAGAUAAUAUUAAGCAUGGAGCAAUUGUCACUGGAGCAGAUGUCGUGUCACUACAUACCGGUACUUAUCUCUUUGAAUAUUUGUUAUAGUCUCCCUUCCCUUUUUCUCUCUCUCCCUCUUCCUCUCAUCCUCUCCCACCCCCCCUAUCUUCUAUCUUUUCGUAUCAUCUUAUAUCUCUUAUUCAUCCUUUACUAACAUUGUCCACUGUAGAAUAAUACAGCUCCCUUGAGAUAAGUUGAAACAUAUUUAUGUAUUUGUGGGACUGUACCUUUCUUACGAAUUAAAAAAUCACCACACGUGUAUGUAAAUAGAAUAAACGCAAUGUCCUUUUAAAUUGGGUGUUUUAAUACCCUCCACCAUAGGUUUAUGGACACGCCCAAUAUUACCUUCCGUGCACAUCGCACUUGUAAAGAAAAAUGUUACUUCACAAUUACAGAUUAUGUAUUUAUUAUAAAUGUACUGCUUUAAUUAUAAAUUAUAAUCACUCUGUUGAAGAGGAUGGAUGUUCUCUGAUAUCUAACUUUAGAAACUAAUAAUAAAAAAAAAUCAUUUGAAAUGAUUGAUUUUCAAUGAA